rnacentral:lncRNA from 1 species
UAGAUUUAUCAAAGCUGACACUUUUUUCUUAAAUAAUGGAAAACAGGAGAAAAAAUAUUAAGAUCUAAUAUGGAACACGAUUAUUUCAAGAAUAAUACUAUUUGCAAACGCUUACUACGACAAUCGCUCUACGUGACAGACACAUGGCAUGUGAUUAUUUGAUACAUGAAUCAAUAAAAAAAACUAUUAUAUUAAUGCAUCAAAUAAUUAUUUGUCAUAUGUAUCCCAUGUACUACGUCUUUAGACAUAUUUUAAUUAUCAACUGGGUGGUGCCUACUACAUUACACCACUCAUCCUCCAUUAAAAGUUCAUUAAUUUUCACUUUUUUAUAUCAAUAGCAAAACAAGAUCAAUCCAAUUUCAUGGACAAAUUUGUGGAAUUCGUAUAAUCUUAAUCAAACAAACCAAACAGCUAAAAAGAUACAAUUUUAGAUGUAGCCAAAGUUGACACUUUUUUCUUAAAUAAUGGAAAUCGGGAUAAUAAAAAAUAAAUAAAUAAAAAGUCAAGAUCUACUAUGAAACACAAUUAUUUCAAGAAUAAAGUUAUUUGCAAUCUCUUACCACGGCAGUCGCUCUACAUGACAUGUGAUUAUUUGAUGCAUAAAUCAACAAAAAACUACUUUAUUAACGCAUCAAAUAAUUAUUUGUCAUAUGUAUGCCAUGUGCUACGUCUUUCUUAAUGAAUGACCACAAAUAUCUUUAUUCAUAUUUCAAUUAUCAAUUGAGUGGUGCUUACAUCAGUCACACCACUCAUCACUCCAUUAAAGGAGCAAUAAUUUCCACAUUUUUAUACUUUAUUAUUAAUAGCAGAACAAGAUCAAUCCUGUUCCAUGGACAAAUUUGCGGAAUUCAUAUAAUCUUAAUGAAAUAAACCAAAUGGGUAAAAAGAUACAAUUUUAGAUUUAGCCAAAACUGACACUUUUUUCUUUAAUAAUGGAAAUUAGGAGAAAAAAUAUCAAGAUCUACUAUGGAACACGAUUAUUUAAAGAAUAAUACUAUUUAUAGUCGUUUUAUGUGACAUACACACGACAUGUGGUUAUUUGAUGUAUGAAUCAAUAAAAAAACUAUUAUAUUAAUGCACCAAAUAAUUAUUUGUCAUAUAUAUUCCAUGUACUGCGUCUGUACUAGUGAGCGACUACAAUUUUCUUUAGUCAUAUUUUAAUUAUCAACUGAGUGGUGCCUACAACAUCACACCACUCAUCAUUCCUUUAAAGGUACAAUAAUUUUCACUUUUUUAUACAUUAUUUACAAUAGCAGAACAAGAUCACUUCGGUUUCAUGGACAAAUUUGUGGAAUUGGUAUAAUCUUAAUCAACACAAACCGAAUGGGUAAAAAGAUACAAAUUUAGAUGUAGCCAAAGCUGACACUAUUUUCUUAAAUAAUGGAAAUCAGGAUUAAAAAAAAAAAUCAAGAUCCACUAUGGAACACAAGUAUUUCAAGAAUAAAGCUAUUUGCAAUCGCUUACCAUGGCAGUCGCUCUACAUGACAUGUGAUUAUUUGAUACAUGAGUCAAUAAAAAACUACUAUACUAAUGCAUCAAAUAACUAUAUGUCGUAUGCAUGACAUGUACUGUGUCUGUCUUAGCGAACGAUUGCAAAUAUCUUUAGUCAUAUUUCAAUUAUCAACUGAGUGGCGCCUACACCAUUCACACCACUCAUCACUCAAUGAAAGGUACAAUAAUUUCCAAUUUUGUAUGCAUUAUUAUCAAAAGCAGCACAAUAUCAAUCCGGUUCCAUGGACAAAUUUGUGGAAUUCAUAAAAUCUUAAUCAAACAAACCAAAUGGGUAAAAGGAUAAAAUUUUAGAUUUAGCCGAACCUGAAACUUUUUUCUUAAAUAAUGAAAAUCAGGAAGAGAAAAUAUCAAGAUCCACUAUGGAACACGAUUAUUUCAAGAAUAAAGCUAUUUGCAAUCGCUUACCAUGACAGUUGCUCUACAUGACAUGUGAUUAUUUGAUGCAUGAGUCAAUGAAAAAUUACUAUAUUAAUACAUCAAAUAAUUAUCUAUCAUAUGCAUGCCAUGUAAGACAUCCGUCUUAGUGAACGACUACAAAUAUCUUUAGUCAUAUUUCAAUUAUCAAUUGAGUGGCGCCUACACUAGUCAUAACAUUCAUCACUCCAUUAAAGGUACAAUAAUUUUCACUUUUUUAUACAUUAUUAUCAAUUGCAGAACAAGAUCAAUCCUGUUCCAUGAACAAAUUUGUGGAAUUCAUUUAUCUUAAUUAAACAAACCAAAUGGGUAAAAAGAUACAAUUUUAGAUUUAGCCAAAGCUAACACUUUUUUCUUAAAUAAUGGAAAACGAGAGAAAACAAUAUCAAGA